rnacentral:rRNA from 1 species
GACGAACGCUGGCGGCGUGCUUAACACAUGCAAGUCGUACGGUAAGGCCCUUUCGGGGGUACUCGAGUGGCGAACGGGUGCGUAUAAGUGAGUAACCUGCCCCCAACCUUUGGGAAACGGUUGGAAACUGGUGCCCAUACCUGAUACGGGAUUCUAUUUCAAGGCGGGGGUUGGAAAACUCCGGGGGGUUUUGGUUGGCUCGUGGCCUAUCAGCUUAGUUGGGGGGUCGUGGCCUUCCAAGGCGGGCGCGGGGAGCCGGCCAGUGAGGGUGAACGGCGACAUUGAGACUGAGAGACGGCCCAGACUCCGACGGGAGGGAGCAGGGGGAAAGAUUGCACAAUGGGCGCAAGCCUGAUGCAGCAACGCCGCGGGCGGGAUGACGGCCUUAGUGUUGAAGACCGCUUUCAGCAGGGACGAAGCAUUUUGUGACGGUACCUGCAGAAGAAGCACCGGCUAACUACGUG